UGAGAGAUGCAUACACAUUAAAGCUUAAGAUGGAUCUGAUUUGGAAGUUUUGGUUUAUGAGUUCAUCAUUAUUAUCUGUACCUUUCUCUAUGUAAAAUCUGUAUCUUGUUUUCGCAGCUGUCGAAAUCUUUGACCUGUUGAUUAUAUCCCAUACUAGAGUUGGAUAUGUUAAAAAUAAAGAGUGAACACUGUGAACUUCUCAAACCCAAUGGUCUAGUUGUUGGCUUGCAUCAAGUUAUGGUUGGUGUGCCUUUUUGAACCUUACCCCCGCGCCCUCCCUCAGUGUGUGUGAAUAUAGUCCCUUGA
rnacentral:lncRNA from 1 species